UGAUGAGUGAUUUGCUCGGCGCCAUGAACAAUAAGGGAACAUUUUUAACCCAUUCAAUCAAAGCCCUGUGAAGGGAGGUGAAAGCCCGUUGUGUUCCUCAGCAUCUUGGCAUUACGGAAGAAUGUCUUAAUUAGUUCUUAGGCCUUAACUUCACAACUGGUCACAUGCCAGCUGUCAGUGAAGAUCUGGACCUGGAUGGAUGAGGAAACCACUGCAAUAUGCCAUCGAGUUCAGGAGGGAUGUGGCUGUAAAGCUUAAUCCCUGUUCUGAAGUGCAGUUGGGCACUGAUGCAGCUGUGCUCUGCAAAGUGCCCUGAUAGGAUCAGAGUCCUUGGACCAGGCUGACCUGUCUGAACCUCUCUCCUUUUUUAGCCAUAAUGUGUGUGCUCACUGCUUCAGGUUUUGCACAGCAUGGCUUCUUAGAGAGCACUCUUCUUCCCCCUUUAGCUGUCCUUAUAUAUAGUUCUAAUAAAGAUAGUGCAACUAGAGGAGAAAUGCAGUGCAGAAUGGAAAAUGAAUUCACGUUAGUCAUACACCUCACUGGAUAAUUAAUGGCAUAUCUUGCUGCCUGCAUGCAAGGCUUCAAAACUGAUUAGCUGGCAGCUUUCACUGCUGUCCCACUGUAUAAGAAAGUAUGGCUAUAAAAGAGAAUUCAGCUUCACAGAGUCAUAUACGCUUAAAUUUCAUUGAUAGUAACAACGUGAACAAGAAUAUGUGAGGAAAAAAAGCAUAAGAAAACAAUUCUUCAAACCUAAAAAUAAAAAAAAGGACACAGAACAGCCACCUACCAACCAGUGUAAGAAAUCGAGGUUGCAAGAGAAAACACUUCAAUCCCGCAAGAAGCAAUUAGAAGAUCUUGUGGAAAUAGUGCAUCAAGAAGAUGAGUCUCCAGAGGAACAAACUGCUUUUUCCUUAUACGUUUUUUUUUUAUUAUUAUUGUUCACAUGGAACUCAUCUGACUGUAUAUUCUCUCCACAGCAUUUGAAUGUUGCUUUCCCCUUUCUGGAUGAUUAUCUGUCCUCUGCUGUAAGGAGGUACCAAUAAGCAAAAGCUUUCAAGGCUGCUGAAAGGGAUGAAGUACUUUUUUAUAUCUCUGUGUAGAACACAACGCUUGGAGGGGGGAAAUAGCAAAAUAUUGUUUGUCUCCAGCAUGCUUUGGAGAAGUGCCUGGUUUAUUUACUCACGUCCCACCUGAAACAACCCGCAGAUUCAUUUAAAUAAAUAAGCUUGCACCGCACAGUAGGUUUUUAUGUGUGUGGAGCAGGGUAGAGAGGGUAAUGGAAAUUCUCCCUUGUGCAGGGCGGAUUAGUUGAUGCUUAGGCAAUUUUUACCCACCCCCCACCUGGUUUUCCUGCUUUCCCUGUGAAGUUGGUUUGAGCUGAAAGAGUCUGGGUCUCUCCUAAUCCAGGGCACUUAGUCCUUGGUUUUAGGCACUUUAUAAUCUUCUAGACCACACGUGGUUUAAAAUGUGUCAUUGUAAUUCUCUAGUCACAGUCACCUGGAAGCUGAAAAGACCUUCAUAUCCUUGAAUUUGAUACCAGCUUAGAAAUUGCUGCUCUUUCUCAGAGGUAACUGAAGGCACGUUACAAUCUGGUUUAAUAGGUUAUAUGAUCAAUCAACGCAAAGGCACACACCUGUCCUAUUAAUACUGUGAUAUGAUUAUUGAGCUAUGACUAGCUUAUACACAAAUAUUCUGCACUUAUAGGUUCGUGAAAGCUGAGGAAAAUCUUAAUUAGCUUUGAUGCUCCUGGAUUGCUGAGUAAAGGAUAGUUUUACCAAGGCCUGAUUGAACUGAUUGUUGUGACCCCAUGCUCUGCACUGUGUUUCCACAACAGAAUUGAUCUUUUUUCCAGAUGAAGACAUAUACCAUUCUGAACCACAUUUGAGGGUGUUUCCAACUAAGCUUGGUGAGGGAUGAAGCUAUAAGGACUCAUUGCCAAGAAAUGCUAGUGGAUACACACCUUCACCCCUCUUGCAGAGAACUAUUGAUGGGCUCACGUGGCUGAGAUAUUUAUGAAGAAACUUCUUGUACAAGGUGUUUAUACAGAAGAUGACCACUGAUAGCAUGAACAACUUUUACUGUUCCUUGAGCUUGGAGUUCAUAAUGCUGUUUGGACAUUAUAAGCCCUUAAGUACUGUAACAAAGUGAACGUUCAGCUCCAGGAAUUUCAAAUCCAGGCGAAGUGAACUUGCUGAUUAACUCUGUGAAUGAAUUUCGUGGUUUAGUAGAGGCUCUGAUGACAGCAAAUGAAAAUCUGUCUUAAACUGUAGUAAAACCUGCAGGAAAUACAAGGCACCUGCUGAGAAAUCAGCUUUCUCUUUAGCUAUUACGUUUAAUCUCUUUGACUCUUGUCUAGUUCUUCUAGGUUAGUGGGAACAUAGGUAUGGAUUUUACAGUGCUGUCAUCACCAGUGAAAUGCUCAUAUUAAUCUAGAUUUGUAUGCUAUAUGGCUGUUGGCAAUGAGGACAGUUAACAUUCCAGUAUCAAUUUCCCUUCAAGGAUACUGAAGAGCGUUGGAAACAUUAAGCUUUGAGGCUAGUAAUUUACUAAUGAGAACACUGAUUCAAAGAGAAAUUAGAACCUUAAUCUCUCACCCAGUGAAGCCAAUAGAAAUCAUUUUGUGAUUUCCUUGGGCAGACUCUGUGUAGUUUGUAAAAGGUCACAGAAGAAAUCACAGAAAAAUUAGACUGAGGUCCAAUAACUUUGUGCUUGCCCAGUAGGAGAGUAGCUGCCCCUUGUGCUACGCCUGUACCCUUUAGAUCCAAAUCCCUUUUCCUUAGUGCAGUUGAAAAAUAUUCCAAUAAACCUUGAUUUGCUGGGACCUCAUUCCCGCGUCACCACCAGCUGUGUGCUGUAGCAGAGGAGAUGUGGAACAAUAAUAUAACAGCUUUGGAGCUCUGUUAUUUUUCAUUCAGGCUGAACACCACAGGUGUCCUUCCUGGCACCCUGUGGUGGAGGCUGAUUCUCUAAGCAGAUUUUGGAAGCAAAGAUCUCUUGGACAAGUUUCCUACAGAAGCAUAAAGCCGCUCCCACCAAACUGAAGAACCAAAACCUUGCCACUGUGUUUACGUGCUCACAGUGACAUGAAGUCCUUUAGUACAACUCAAGGCCAUGCCCAACUUCAUAGAAAUGAAGUUUCCAAAUUCUUUGAAGCAGUUAAACUUUGACGAAAAGCUGUACUGCACUGCUGAGACCUUUCAUUGAACUAAAGCAUCCGGUUUUCAGAGUGACAGGGUGACAUUGAGGAAAUCACAAUUAAGUUCUUCAAACGUGUUAUUUUAUAGGUAGUAUCCUCCAAGGCCUGAUCCAAAGUGCUCUGUACUCAGUAGGAACCAUUCCACCUCAGGGCUCACUCAAUGUUUUCCAGCAUGCUCUGUCUCUGGUAAUAUUUCAAGCAGUUUAUUACAGAAUUGCAUAAUGCAAUAUGCAUUGCUCGUGUGGGUAGAAACCUUUAUAUCAACAGUCUAGAUAAAUGCCAGCACUGCUAUCAUAAUACACUUCAAUAGAGGUAAGAAAUAUAGUGAUGUGUUUACAAAUUUGAUCCAUUCAGAGCCCUGGGCUGUAGUAACUUAUAUAUAGGAGCAUUUAUGUAGAAAACCACUGGAGCAUAUGCAUGAUUAUUUAUCAAGAUGCUCUAUGUAUGGUGUUGGUAUUAUGCAUUAUGCUUGAUAUAACAGGAAUAAACACUUCAUGAAAGAACACAAAGGACACCAGAAAGGUAUAUCACAAACAUAUUUUUAUAAUGAACCCACAGAGUAUUUAUGCUGUAGAUUCCACAUAAAGUGUGUGUGAGCUAGCCAAGUACAGCCCUCCCAAAACCAGGUAAGCAGUACAGUUUUAUAAUGAUGAUAUAACUGAAAGAGCCUUCAUUGACUUUAAGUACAAACCUUAUGCUUUCUAAUGUUCCUUCAACUUCCUUGUCACGUAAAGGUCAGUCCACAGCACAGUAGAAGGAAUGGAUGUAUAUCUACGAUACGCACAGCAGAUUUAAGCAUUUGUACUCAUUUGGGUUUAGCCAACUAUGCUGUGCAGUGAGUGGCAAAUGUAUUAUUCUGUUGUGCCAUAUAAAGUAUUAUUCCAGGUGUUUGAAAUAAUGCAUACAGUUAAAGGUUAUGGCAGAAUAACAUUAAAGAAAUUCACUGUUUCUUGGCCUGAUGGUAGUAUGGAUGAUAAAAAGGAGAUGGUUAUUACAGCCUUGAAGCAUUACAGUUAUUUUGCUAUGAUAAUAGUCCUCAGAUUUUGUUAUAGCCCUAGUAUGUUACCUGAAAGUUAAAAUGCAAUUUACAGGUCUGUGAUCUCUUAUUGUCUAGAAUGUAAUUUCUAAAAGAAAAUGAGUGGUGAUCUUGAGGAUAAAUCCUGGUUUCUUUAAACUUGUUUUUUCUUUUCUUUUUUUUUUUUUGUAAGAGGAGGUUUAUUCCUCAGAGAAUGAAUCAAUCCAGGAUUGUCACUUCUAGAUUGAAAUACGCCAAGAUGAAUAUCUCUUCCACUUCAUACUGUUAUCACUCUUUGUUACCAACUUAUUAUGGACUACAGGUAGCAAGUGCUUCUGGACUUACAGCAAUACACCAAAGGUGUCAGAUGGCCAGGAGCUUCCAACCAGACCCUGCAUGAUUUGAGUGGCCCAAUGGAUUGUUUUGGUUCUACUUGUGAGCUAUUUUGAAAUAUUACAGUGUCCAUUACCGCAGUAUUAGCACUUCACUGUCCUUAAUGCUGUUUAAUCCAUCAGUUUUAGAGUCCCAAACCAAGGACUCCCUGCCAGCAGUCACCGCUACCGAUGCAGUGCACACUGUCAGAUUGCAACCUUGGCCAUAACAAGGUCAUGUAAUAAAGCACAUGACAGAGGAAAGACUGUAAUAAUAAUUAUUUCCAUUGUGUAUAAUAAAUAAUAUAAUAAAGCUUAGUUGUAAGCAUUAGAAGAGCCGUGAAAGUCAAGGCAGAUCUUUUGUGUUUGAUUCUCUCCUUCUGUGUACAGAAAUAAGAAAAAAAAAAAGGAAAAGAAUUGGUAGAAUGUUCCAGCUAAAGCAGAGCUGGUUCCAGAGAAGCUGAGAAAGAAAUGAGAUGGUGUCUCAACUAUGGCAAUGCAGAAUAGAAACUUAAUAUUUGUUCUGCAGUUUGUGUUCUGCGUUACUUUACUUUAAGGGACUGGGAAGUGUUUGAUUGAAAAAGGACUCCUUUCCCAGGGUGUAUCACUCAUCCAGAUUUCCCUUUGUAACUCGGGGUACUCAAAGUCAUUUCUUCCACCAAAAUCUGUCUGAUAUCUCUGUCUUUCUGGAGCUUCACACAUGACUGGAAAUCAAGCAUUCAAGGCAAAUACUACAGUUAAGUAUUAAACCUGACAGUUUUAUAUGUCUAGUACAAUAAUUGAUUCCAUGUUAUGCUAACCUACUCCACAGGUUAAAGCAGUGAGGGACAGCUCCAUCUCAUACAGGAGUCCCUGAAUUAUUAUUUUUAAGGUAUUUAAAAGCACCGAGGCAAUUCACAUUUCUAUUUUAUAAGCAUUUGUAUGGUUGAAGAAUAGAAUACAGGGAGCACUUGCA
rnacentral:lncRNA from 1 species